rnacentral:rRNA from 1 species
GACGAACGCUGGCGGCGCGCCUAACACAUGCAGGUCGAACGAGCGAGAGAGAGCUUGCUUUCUCGAGCGAGUGGCGAACGGGUGAGUAACGCGUGAGGAACCUGCCUCAAAGAGGGGGACAACAGUUGGAAACGACUGCUAAUACCGCAUAAGCCCACGGUGCCGCAUGGCACCGAGGGAAAAGGAGCAAUCCGCGAUGAGAUGGCCUCGCGUCCGAUUAGCUUGGUGGUGAGGUAAUGGCCCAGCAAUGCGACGAUCGGUAGCCGGACUGGGAGGUGGAAACGCUAGAAUGGGGAUGAGACACGGACCAGAAUCCUACGGAAGGGAGGAGUGGGGAACAUAGCACGAGGGAGGAAACUCUGAUGCAGCGGCGUGGGGUGGAGGGAGAAGGUGUUCGGAAUGUAAACUCCUGUUGUAGGGGAAGAUAAUGACGGUACCCAACAAGGAAGCAACGGCUAACUACGUA